rnacentral:rRNA from 1 species
UAUACAUGCAGUCGAGCGAAUGGAUUGAGAGCUUGCUCUCAUGAAGUUAGCGGCGGACGGGUGAGUAACACGUGGGUAACCUGCCCAUAAGACUGGGAUAACUCCGGGAAACCGGGGCUAAUACCGGAUAACAUUUUGAACUGCAUGGUUCGAAAUUGAAAGGCGGCUUCGGCUGUCACUUAUGGAUGGACCCGCGUCGCAUUAGCUAGUUGGUGAGGUAACGGCUCACCAAGGCAACGAUGCGUAGCCGACCUGAGAGGGUGAUCGGCCACACUGGGACUGAGACACGGCCCAGACUCCUACGGGAGGCAGCAGUAGGGAAUCUUCCGCAAUGGACGAAAGUCUGACGGAGCAACGCCGCGUGAGUGAUGAAGGCUUUCGGGUCGUAAAACUCUGUUGUUAGGGAAGAACAAGUGCUAGUUGAAUAAGCUGGCACCUUGACGGUACCUAACCAGAAAGCCACGGCUAACUACGUGCCAGCAGCCGCGGUAAUACGUAGGUGGCAAGCGUUAUCCGGAAUUAUUGGGCGUAAAGCGCGCGCAGGUGGUUUCUUAAGUCUGAUGUGAAAGCCCACGGGCUCACCGUGGAGGGUCAUUGGAAA